rnacentral:rRNA from 1 species
GGACGAACGCUGGCGGCGUGCUUCAUACAUGCAAGUCGAACGAGAAUCUGACUUCGGUCAGAGGAAAGUGGCGGACGGGUGAGUAAAAUAGUAGAGAAUCUGCCCUAGAGAGAGGGACAACAGUUGGAAACGACUGCUAAUACCUCAUAUGCGCGUAGCUGAGAUGCUAUUCGUGAAAACUCCGGUGCUCUGGGAUGAGUCUGCAUCUGAUUAGCUAGUUGGCGGUGUAAUGGACCACCAAGGCGACGAUCAGUAGCUGGUUUGAGAGGAUGAUCAGCCACAAUGGGACUGAGACACGGCCCAUACUCCUACGGGAGGCAGCAGUAGGGAAUUUUGCGCAAUGGGGGAAACCCUGACGCCAGCAACGCCGCGUGAUUGAAUAAGCCCUUCGGGGUGUAAAGAUCUGUCAGUAGGGACGAAACUUGACGGUACCUACAGAGGAAGCAUCGGCUAACUCCGUGCCAGCCGCCGC